rnacentral:rRNA from 1 species
GAUCAGUGGCGAACGGGUGAGUAACACGUGGGCAACCUGCCCUCAGCUCUGGGAUAACUCCAAGAAAUUGGGGCUAAUACCGGAUAUGACCGCUGACCGCAUGGUCUGGUGGUGGAAAGAUUUAUCGGCUGGGGAUGGGCCCGCGGCCUAUCAGCUUGUUGGUGGGGUAGUGGCCUACCAAGGCGACGACGGGUAGCCGGCCUGAGAGGGUGACCGGCCACACUGGGACUGAGACACGGCCCAGACUCCUACGGGAGGCAGCAGUGGGGAAUAUUGCGCAAUGGGCGAAAGCCUGACGCAGCGACGCCGCGUGGGGGAUGACGGCCUUCGGGUUGUAAACCUCUUUCAGCAGGGACGAAGCGAAAGUGACGGUACCUGCAGAAGAAGCACCGGCCAACUACGUGCCAGCAGCCGCGGUAAUACGUAGGGUGCAAGCGUUGUCCGGAAUUAUUGGGCGUAAAGAGCUCGUAGGCGGUUUGUUGCGUCGGCUGUGAAAACCUGAGGCUCAACCUCAGGCCUGCAGUCGAUACGAGCAGACUAGAGUGUUGCAGGGGAGACUGGAAUUCCUGGUGUAGCGGUGAAAUGCGCAGAUAUCAGGAGGAACACCGGUGGCGAAGGCGGGUCUCUGGGCAACAACUGACGCUGAGGAGCGAAAGCGUGGGGAGCGAACAGGAUUAGAUACCCUGGUAGUCCACGCCGUAAACGUUGGGCGCUAGGUGUGGGGUCAUUCCACGAGUUCCGUGCCGAGCUAACGCUUAAGCGCCCGCCUGGGGAGUCGGCCGCAA